rnacentral:ncRNA from 1 species
UCUCUGGAGAAUCCCGGGCAAACCGGGUGCCGAAGGGGCAAGGCAGCCACCGCGCGUGCGCGGCAGCGGGCGGCCGAAACUCUCAGGCAAAAGGACAGAGCGAA